UUGUGCGUGUGACAGCGGCUA
rnacentral:miRNA from 16 species